rnacentral:tRNA from 1 species
CCGAGUGUAGCUCAGUUGGUAGAGCGAUUGACUGUAGUGUUUGAUACUAUGCUCAGUAUACUCGGAAAUCAAUUGGUCGCUGGUUCGAUUCCGGCCACUCGGA